GUGUACACCGCUGCGCCCCCCGACCCGUGGGGAUGGCCGGUUCCUGGAACACCGGCCCCUUCCAGGCGAUUCUAUAACAUAAUGCCUGAGCCAGUGCCACCCAUUUAUCCGAAUAUGCUCUCAUAUCCACGCCGAUAUUUUCGACGUAACUUCCCGGAAUACUCAUACUAUUAUGGACCCUAUAGAAGAAGUGAUAAUUAUGAUGAUAACCG